rnacentral:rRNA from 1 species
UACCCUACGGGAGGCAGCAGUAGGGAAUCUUCCACAAUGGGCGAAAGCCUGAUGGAGCAACGCCGCGUGGGUGAAGAAGGUCUUCGGAUCGUAAAACCCUGUUGUUAGAGAAGAAAGUGCGUGAGAGUAACUGUUCACGUUUCGACGGUAUCUAACCAGAAAGCCACGGCUAACUACGUGCCAGCAGCCGCGGUAAUACGUAGGUGGCAAGCGUUGUCCGGAUUUAUUGGGCGUAAAGCGAGUGCAGGCGGUUCACUAAGUCUGA